AUUGUUUACCACAAAGGCACAUCGGAAACCAGCACCAUCUUAGAGUUGGCUUCCUACAAGCAAAGACCUUCCAGAAGUCUCUUGGGAAGUUAACUAAAGGGUAAAGGUUCCAGGAAAGUGGGAUAUUCAUGACUUACAGUAACAAAGAAACUUCCAUGGUGUUCACAAGUCAAAGAUUCCAUUUACUGUUAAGAUUGGCACAUGAGAGACUUGGUAACAGACUGGAUCUUCCACUGGGCCUAGCAUUGCUGUGGGGCUACACAGGGAACGCUAAUGAGUGACUGCUGCCCAGAGUCAUCUUUCAGGGACUAAAGAGCUCAUUUCCAGCUCUCUGAGAGAGGAUGAUUAGUCCGGACCUAUCCGUGGUCUAAACUGGACUCCAGGAUUCUCAAAAUGGAAGAAUUUUAAGAUUCAGAACAAAGAAAUUUGAUCUCAUUAAUCACUUCCACCUGAAUGUUUUUAAUGAUAAAAGUACUCAAAAGGCACCUCAAAUUCUAUUAUCCUCAUCACAUAUUGACUGGUAAAGUUGUUAUCUGUCACUAUUUCUUCUGAGAAAUGAAGUUGUUGC
rnacentral:lncRNA from 1 species